rnacentral:lncRNA from 1 species
AGCCUCAUCGAUCUUAUAGAGUAGAGUAGAGUAGAGUAGAAAACAUAUACAUACAUAUAGCGUACAAUUAAUCAAUAUGAUGCAUGCACGACACGUCCAAUUUGAGCGAUCAAUCGACCCAAAUUGGUAGCUUCAUUAGUUGACGGUGACCUUUCCGACCAUGCCGGCCCCAGCGUGGGGCUCGCAGUAGAAGCCGUAGGUGCCGGGGACGGUGAGGGUGACGGAGAAGGUCUCGCCGGGGGCGUUGAGGUACUCCUCCUGGGAGAUCUUGGAGACGUCGACGCCGGAGGGCACGGCGUCCUCGUCGAACACCACGUUGUGCGGGUACCCGGCGUUGUUCUUGAAGGUGAUGGUCUCGCCGGCCUUGACGCUGAAGUCGUUGGGCUCGAACACCAGCACGCCGCCGUUGGCACCCAGGAGCACGUCCUGUGCCAUCGCGGACCCGCCCAGCAGCAUGGCGCCGGCGGCCAUGGCCACGGCCGCGCUGGCGGCCUUCUUGCCCAGGGAAGCGCGCACAACCAUCCUGCUGCUUCUGCUGCUGCGCAUGGGGGUGGCGGCGGCGAAGGAAGGGACGGACACGGCUGCAGAGGAGAGGGCGGCCAUGGCUGCUUGCUACGUACUGCAGAGGAGGAGAGCUAGCCUAGCCAA